UGAAGAGCGUUUCCGGUGGCGUGGAGGUAGUCCUGUGUUAUCUCUCCUGCUUGGUCACCAUACCUGCAAAAAGGAGAAGACAAUAUCAACCACCCUAUCAACUGGCGGCAUCAAUCGGUCAUUACUGCGCAAAAGAUUUUGGUUAUGACUAGUUGUUGUCGAACCAAAAACAUUUGAAAUUUUGGAAGCAUGGAUGCUGUGCAGUGUAUGUUUAAAAGACGGUAGUUUGUUUUGGUAACGGUAGAUUCGCGUAACAUUCCCAAGAAGUUCCUUUAUUUGUUAACUCUAAGUAUAUUGGAAAUAUAAAUUUAAUUGGGGAACACACAAUAUUACAAAUAAAAUCAAUAAACAAAACAGCUUUGUACUUUCUUUAAUUUGUUGCAUAAUUAUUGAAUGCUAGAGAGAUAAGUAUGGUGUAUAUAAUCAUGCCAUUUUGCCAAACAAUUAAAAAACACGAGUCCAGGAUAUGUUGGGAAACAUAUGAUUUCUUCCUGCAUACUUGUUCUAUAUUAUCCAGGUGGAAUUGUUGAAAGAUAGCAUUUAUGUGUUCUCAUCGGUAUAAAUUUGCUCGUGUACAUUGUUCUUAAAGUUGUAACUAUGAAAACAAAUCAGGAUCAUAAAACUAAAUAAUUUAUUCCAUAAAUUGAAUUCAAUUAUCAAAAGCUUUAGUACAUAAUAAAAAGGUUAAACAAACUUUGUAGGCAAUUGUCCACAUACAUCAAAUCCCUUCCCUUAACCCAUUUCUCUAAGCUCGAAGAUCAAGUGGUUUGCAAGAAUAUUUUUUUUUGAAAGACAUCUAUAAUGAACUAAGAAUGUAAUAGCAAUUUUAGUAAAACAAUUGUUCUUCUUAAAAUGCACCCCAUGCACCCAAAGGAAUUUAAUUUCUUAUUAGAGGAAGAAACAAAAAAUCUUUGGAGGUACCAAAUAUGUCUGAUUAAGGAUAAACACCAUCUUGCUUUGUAAUUUAAUGAAAUAAUAAUAGUCUAAAGUAGACAUAUAUAAAAACGUACCAAGAGGGAACUCCUUCGGAAGUUGCUAAAGCAACAAAUUCUAUUGACUGGCUGCUGCUAUUCUAGGUUGGCGGUGCAAUGUUGAUGAUUCCUGCCAAGCAAGAUAAUUACUCCCUCCGUUUCCUAAAUAUAAGUAUUUUUAGAGAUUCCACUACGAACUACAUACGGAUGUAUAUAGACAUGUUUUAGAGUGUAGUUUCACUCAUUUUACUCCGUAUGUAGUCCGUAGUGGAAUCUCUAAAAAGACAUAUGUUGAGGAACGGAGGUAGUAGUAUUUUUAUAGUAAUUAUGGAGAAUGGAAAAGAUAAUGCUUAGUACUUACACUGAUUCAGGGGUAGUGGCCAGGCCUUUAAUUUUUAUAUUUUGAUUGAGGGGUAGUAAGAUAAUUUGCAAAAAAAAGGAGGUACCACGACAAUCAUAUUAGAAGAUAGCCUAGAAAUAGAUACGACUCACAUUGUUGGGAAGAACUAAUCCUUAUAAGAUUAGAAGAGAAUGAUACAGUAACCUCGGAAAGGUUUCCCGAUGAACAAAUAUACCUCUCUUUCCAUAAAAAAUUCUUCAGCUUAAGACGUUGUAGAAAAACUGAAAAUAUGAGAUAAGACUAUCAACUACGCUGAACAAAUUUCUAAGCUAAAGCAUGCCGUCUAACUGAACAGAGGGCCACAUGAGGCACAUGCUAUUGUGUCCACGAUUUUGUUUCUUGUCUUUCAUCAAACAUAGAUGGCAUAAUUAACUACUGUUGAUGGACAGCAGAAGGCCAUAGCUUACAAAAUAUGGUCAUACCAAUGGUUAGAAUUAUUAUCAUAGUCCAAAUGACGCAUACCUGAUGAGGAUUUUUUCUAGUCCAAAUGACAAUUCCAGUUUUGUUCAGGAAACGUAUAUCUGAUGGCCAUAUAUACUCUGGACUCUGGAGACGCUAAAACAAAAACUGAACUAUAAAACUGGCCGUGCUGUGUCAAGUAGAAAGGAGAAAUCUCUCCUAGAACAUGCACUUGGCAACAUGGGCAGAUGGUCAGAUCGCACCACACACCCCACUGUUUUUACAUGGGAGAGAUCUGAUCAAUGUUAACAUGUAGGAAUGAACUUGUAACUCUACUGAUCUUCUUUCAUAUGUGGUAUAACCUUUAUUAAUGCUCCAUUGCCCCGGGAGGCCGACACCCUUUCCUGCUAGUUGUGACGUGACAUGGAAGAUCAAGAAACUUAAUUCCAAUGAUGUUGAAUAUCCUAAAAUCUAUUUUGUAAAUCUUCAAAUUAUGUUCAACUGUGAUAGACUCAUAUAUCUUGAAGACUUGAAUAGCUGCAGGUCCGGGAUGGGCGGGGUGGGGCGGCCGAGGAGGCACGCGGCCCUGGACCAGGCGUAGAGCACAACUCGCAGGAGGAGCAACACGUCAGUGGCCAGGUUGUGGGACUUGUGGCGGCAAGCCAACAACUAAGAUCAACCAACGCUUUGGGGAGAGGACAUCAUCAGGGGCUUGGCGAGGUGGCGGACGCAACACCUCCAUUUGGUAAGGCGACGCGGACACGGGGAACUGAGUGUCCAUGGGAGAUGAAGUAAGUUGUGGCCAGAAUCCGCCAUGGACACGAACCAACACGAGCCAGAUGCAUAACAUUGAAUCCAAUCGAUUCCAUGACGCAAUUUUAGUCCAAUAACUACCCUAUAUGAACUGAACAGAGACGUCGAUCUACAAGGAUGAUUCAAUCACACGCUGGCAAAGAUUUUAGCCCGUAGAACUCACCUCCAAAUCUCGAGAUCCAGGCCCUCGCGAUCUGCCGGACUUCGCCACCGAGCGCUCCACCGACGAGAUCCACGCCCUCGCGAUCUGCCGGACUCCGCCAAUGAGAUCUGCGCCCACACGAACAGCCGGUCUCCCGCCACCGAGCUCCGCUCCCUCUUCUCCGUCGCCAAGCUCCUCUCCCAGCCGNNN
rnacentral:lncRNA from 1 species